rnacentral:rRNA from 1 species
GGAAUAUUGGACAAUGGGCGAAAGCCUGAUCCAGCCAUCUCGCGUGAAGGAUGAAGGCCCUCUGGGUUGUAAACUUCUUUUAUCAGGGAAGAAACCCUUGGAUUCACUCCGAGGCUGACGGUACCUGAAGCAUAAGCACCCGCUAACUCCGUGCCAGCAGCCGCGGUAAUACGGAGGGUGCAAGCGUUAUCCGGAUUUACUGGGUUUAAAGGGUGCGUAGGCGGAUUUGUAAGUCAGUGGUGAAAGCCUGGAGCUUAACUCCGGAAUUGCCAUUGAUACUGCUUAUCUUGAGUACAGUUGAGGUGGGCGGAAUGUGUCAUGUAGCGGUGAAAUGCUUAGAUAUGACACAGAACACCGAUUGCGAAGGCAGCUCGCUAAACUGUAACUGACGCUGAGGCACGAAAGCGUGGGGAUCGAAC